rnacentral:rRNA from 1 species
CUCAGUUCGGACUGGAGUCUGCAACCCGACUCCAUGAAGCUGGAUUCGCUAGUAAUCGCGCAUCAGCCACGGCGCGGUGAAUACGUUCCCGGGCCUUGUACACACCGCCCGUCAAGCCAUGGAANCCGGGGGUGCCUGAAGUGCGCUGCCGCAAGGAGCGUCCUAGGGUAAAACCGGUGACUGGGGCUAAGUCGUAACAAGGUAAC